CCAGCUGCUGAGGAAGGAGAUCAGCGCUGUGGAGCUGCAGAUGAUCAAUGAAGAUAAGAGCUGGAGGGAUGAGCUGCUGGAGUUAUCCCGAUCGAAGCAGACCCGCGCUGACUCUGAGCUGCUCUGUUUACGGCAGGUGUGUGAGAACCAGCAGAAUGACCUGCAGUUGCUGAAGCUGAACCUGGAGAGCACCAGAGAAGCCCUGCGGCACCAUGAGGGUCAAAGGUCACGCGACAGGUGACAACAAUAACAGACAAAAACAGCAUAGACCAGG